UGCCUUUUCACUAUUUUCUCCGAGUUCUUUACUUCCUUUUAUGACAAUGGCAGCCACGCUAACCACGAAACCAACGUUUUGGAAACUUGGUUUAUCUUUUGUUGGGAUGUUUUCUUCACUAUAUUUAUGGGAGUUUCUAACAUAUACAAACUCGUCAAAAGAAUUAUCUUUUAAGACGCAGUUCGCGCGCCAUGCAGGUCGCGUGUAUCUUGCAAGAAUAGAUAUUAUUGCUUCGAGCAUCAGUACUUUUUACGCUGGAAUUGCUGAAUCGAAAAUACUUUCUUUGCAGUACGAAAUUGAUGAGCAUAAUGGCCAAUUACAGAAAGAAAUUGGCGCUCUGAAAAGCGAGGAAGAAAGUCUAAGCAGAAUAUUAAACGAAGCGCAAGCCAUAAAUGAAAAGUCUAAAGAUUGCAUUACUUUGCUCAACAAAUAUUAUAACACG